rnacentral:lncRNA from 1 species
CAGGCAUGUGCUGGGCUGUGUCCUGCAGGUUUCUACUGCCUGGAGGGUUCUGAGUUACCUAUACCGUGUCCUGCCAAUACUAUUAGGGAUGUUCCAGGGGCUGGGCAGAAGGAAGACUGCCUGCCCUGUCCACCAGGCCACUGGUGCAAAGCAGGGGACUCAGAGGCCUCUCCAUGCCCCUCAGGACACUAUUGCUAUGGAAGUAAUGGCAGUGACCAAGACAGCCUGUUGGCACCACAGAAAUGCCCUCCAUAUACUUACCGCAAGCUCCCAGGAGCUCGGAGCCUGACAGAUUGCCAGCCAUGUCCUCCAGGCUAUCACUGCCCUCUAUCAGGUCUAACCAGUUUUGAGGAUUACCCAUGCCCACUGGGAUACUGGUGUCCUGGUAAAGGGGAUGCUUUCUUUUGUCCACCUGGCACUUCCAGGGUACAGCCUGGUGCAAAAUCAUUGGAAGAGUGUGAUCCCUGCUCAGCUGGCUUCUACUGCCCAGACCCAGCACAGACAGGGCUACCUAACACCCAAGGACUACCUUGUGAACCUGGCUAUGAGUGCCCAGCAGGUUCAGUCCAUCCAAAGCCUUGCAGGCCAGGCUCAUACUGCAGUGCUCGCACAGCCGUGCCCUCCAUGUGCCCUGCUGGCUAUUACUGUCCCGAAGGCUCAUCAACAUACAAUAGCCCUGAGCAGCUAUGUGUGUUUCCCUAUUACUGUCCCCCGGGCACUGCCCACCCUCUGCCCUGUGAAGGAGGAUACAUGGCCAUCAGCUCGCCUGGGCCAAGGGAUUCCUUUGAGAAGUUCUGCAGAAUCUGUGAUGCAGGCAGCUAUCGUAAUGACUCUUCCAUCUCUGCUCCCUGUCAGCCCUGCCCGGCAGGCUUCAUCUGCCCACAAGGCAGUGAGACUUACCACAAGAAGCCUUGUCCCAUUGGCUAUUACUGCCCUCCCCUGGCAUCUGCCCCUCUUCCCUGUCCCCCGGGGACCCGUGGGAGCACCAACUUGGCCAAGGAUAUAGAAGACUGUCAGGCCUGUCCUGCUGGCACAUUCAAUCACCUUCCUGCUCAGGCUGCCUGUUUUCCCUGUGGCAGCUCCUCUUCAUCACAGCCGGGUGCUACCAGCUGUACCUGCCAUGGGCUGAACCGGGCUUUCCAGCACUCAGAUGCCUCCUGUGUCUGCCAGGCAGGUUAUGUUUACUAUGAUGAGCGAAGCAAGGAAAACUCUGACAGCAACAGUGACCAGGACUGCCGACCUCAGAUGUCACUGCAAGCAGUACAUCUCUGCUGAGGAGCUCUGUGACCAAAU